UGUGUGGCUUAGUGGUAGAGUGCUUGCCUAGCAUGCAUGAAGCCCUGGGUUUGAUUCCAAGUAUCACAU
rnacentral:tRNA from 1 species